AUACUACAUAAGAUUCAAGAUUCAUAUCAUCAACAUAAAGGCAAAAAAACGACGAGGGAAGAUCCAUAACUGAAUGAUAUAGAAAUGGGUUUGAAAAUUGGAGGGAGAAUUGAAAAAGUGAACGGUAGAGAACUAACUUACAGUGAGUUCGCCGAUAAAUAUAUGUCCCAGAACCAACCUGUGCUUCUUACAGGACUUAUGGACGAUUGGAGGGCUUGCAAAGAUUGGGUUUCACCUAAUGGAAAACCCAAUCUUCACUUUUUCUCUACCCAUUUUGGGAAAUCCAAAGUUCAGGUUGCAGAUUGUGGGACUAGAGAGUUCACUGAUCAGAAGAGAAUAGAAAUGACUGUUUCUGAAUUUGUUGAUCGCUGGCUUCAUGAUGGUGGUGCUGGUGGCGGGUCUUUAUUGUAUUUGAAGGAUUGGCAUUUUGUAAAGGAAUAUCCGGAGUAUAUUGCAUACAGAACUCCCAUGGACUUUUCAGAUGACUGGCUGAAUUUCUAUCUUGACAAAUUUCAUAUGCAUAACGAUCCUGAUACAUAUAGUGAGAGAAAUGAUAUAAGUUGCUCUGACUAUCGUUUUGUAUACAUGGGAUCAAAAGGAACAUGGACACCUCUUCAUGCUGAUGUAUUCAGGUCAUACAGUUGGUCUGCAAAUGUCUGUGGAAAAAAACAGUGGUAUUUUCUGCCUCCAAGUCAACAUCACUUGGUUUUUGACAGGAAUAUGAAAAGUUCCGUAUAUGACAUCUUUGCUGAAGUUUCUCAAUCAAAAUUUCCUGGAUUUGAAAAGGCUAUCUGGUGGGAGUGCACCCAGGAGGAAAAUGAAGUAAUCUUUGUUCCCAGUGGAUGGUAUCAUCAAGUUCAUAAUCUGGAGGAUACCAUAUCCAUAAAUCAUAACUGGUUCAAUGGAUAUAAUUUAUCUUGGGUGUGGGAUUUGCUUUUAAAAGAUUACAAUGAGGCUAGUGAAUACAUUGAAGACCUCAAGGGAUGUGAUGACUUUGAGGAGCUUUGCCAACGAAAUCUUGCCGCUAAUACAGGCAUGAAUUUCUACGACUUCUUCAUCUUCAUUGUGCGCUUUGCGUUUGCAAACGUAGUCCUACUACAUACACUUGCCCAUGUAAAGAAUGAAACAAGUCGGAAACCAUCAAAAGCACUGCAGCAUAUAUAUUUUAACCUCGAAUCAAUAAGAAACGUCGCUGUGAAAAUGAAGCCCAUAAAUACAGGGGACAGGCAAGGUGUUUUACUUGACUUGAGGAAAAACUUGGAGGAUCACUCGUUUAUAGAGCUCUGUGCAGCUGUUGGAAAAACAUAUGAACUGAUACAUGACCAAGAUAAGACGACCCCUACAUUAUUGCAGUGUACAGACUUGAUGUGUACUAGUUUUGUUAGAUCUCAAGUUCAGAGUUCUGAAGACCUCGUUGCCUUUAUCAAUGAUGCUUUGACUAAACUAGGUGGUGCUUUUUCUUGUUAGGAAUAUCUGUACACAUAUAUGAAGCAAGAAGUUCAUGUUCUUUGCAUAUCGAUAGAGGACAGCACGCUGAUUCUCAAGGAGUACAUCAGAUGUUUGAAGUUUCGUAUGGUCGAAGUUCAGUCUAAAUGCAUAUAUUGUUGAAGUUUGUUCAGACAAAAAUAAUUGACUGUGGCUGGCUACAUAUAUUUUAACUACUUUAAGGCACAUGAAUAUCAAAGACUGCAAGUAUGACGUUCUUCAGCUUACCUAAAAAUUGACUUGGACUUUUUAAACAAAGGAACCAAAUCCCUGCUACAAGUUUUGUCUUUUUAUAUUUAUUUUCUUGAUAAAAACCAUGUUCUUGAUUAGUGAACUUGGAUUGUCUUCAUUUAUUGGAUGCUUUUGUUGGGUUGACUAGGCCUCUAACUUCUCUAAUAAAAAUAAAAAAUAUGUAUUAUUUGAUUA